rnacentral:tRNA from 1 species
GGGCGAGUGGCGGAACGGCAGACGCGCACGGCUUAGGACCGUGUGCCGCAAGGCUUGGGGGUUCGAGUCCCCCCUCGCCCA